AUGCUCUGCUUCCCGCUGCUCACCGACCAGUUCACCAACCGCCGGCUCGUCGUGCGCGAGUGGCGCGUCGGCGUGCCAAUCGGGGACCGCGGCAAGGUGUUCCCCGACGAGGUGAGCGCCAGGAUCCAGGGCGUCAUAUCCGGCGAGGAGGGCCAGCAGCUCCGCCAGGCGCUCAAGAAGGUGACGGCCAAGCUCAAGGCCGCCGCGGCGCCCGGCGGAUCGUCGCAGAGGAGUUUCGACGACUUCGUCGACGAGCUCACCCACCGUUGCGGCGGCGGCGGACGUACAUUGAUGAGCUAA
rnacentral:rRNA from 1 species